GACGAACGCUGGCGGCGUGCUUAACACAUGCAAGUCGAACGGAAAGGCCCUGCUUUUUUGGGGUGCUCGAGUGGCGAACGGGUGAGUAACACGUGAGUAACCUGCCCUUGACUUUGGGAUAACUUCAGGGAACUGGGGCUAAUACCGGAUAGGAGCUCCUGCUGCAUGGUGGGGGUUGGAAAGUUUCGUCGGUUGGGGAUGGACUCGCGGCUUAUCAGCUUGUUGGUGGGGUAGUGGCUUACCAAGGCUUUGACGGGUAGCCGGCCUGAGAGGGUGACCGGCCACAUUGGGACUGAGAUACGGCCCAGACUCCUACGGGAGGCAGCAGUGGGGAAUAUUGCACAAUGGGCGGAAGCCUGAUGCAGCAACGCCGCGUGCGGGAUGACGGCCUUCGGGUUGUAAACCGCUUUCGCCUGUGACGAAGCGUGAGUGACGGUAAUGGGUAAAGAAGCACCGGCUAACUACGUG
rnacentral:rRNA from 1 species